GAUGAAGAACGCAGCGAAAUGCGAUAAGUAAUGUGAAUUGCAGAAUUCAGUGAAUCAUCGAAUCUUUGAACGCACAUUGCGCCCCUUGGUAUUCCGAGGGGCAUGCCUGUUCGAGCGUCAUUAUAACCCUCAAGCUCAGCUUGGUGUUGGGGCCUGCUGCACUGGCAGCCCUUAAAAUCAGUGGCGGCGCCAUCUGGCUCUAAGCGUAGUAAUUCUUCUCGCUAUGGAGUCCUGGUGGAUGCUUGCCAUCAACCCCCAAUUUUUCUAUGGUUGACCUCGGAUCAGGUAGGGAUACCCGCUGAACUUAAGCAUAUCAAUAGCGGAGGA
rnacentral:misc_RNA from 1 species